rnacentral:rRNA from 1 species
AUGAAUGGUUGGGCAGAGCGGCUACUAGCUUGUGCUGGGAGGGAAACGCUUAUUAAAUCAGUGAUCCAGGCCAUCCCAACUUUCAGUAUGAGCUGUUUCCGUCUGACAAAGAAGGUAUGCAAAGGCCUCAUUGCUAGUAUGGCAAAAUUCUGGUGGAGUGGAUCUCUUGAUCAACGAUCUAUGCAUUGGCUAUCUUGGGAGAAACUUGCAUCACCAAAGUGUCGGGGUGGAAUGGGCUUUCCCGAUCUUGAAUUAUUCAACUUGGCACUACUUGGUAAGCAUGGAUGGAGGUUUAUUAAAAACCCUAACUCUUUAUGUGCCCAAGUGAUGAAGGGGCGCUAUUUCUGGACUGUGAUUUCAUGGAGGCUUCAGUACCACAAACAUCAUCAGCUAUUUGGCGAGCAAUCAUCGCCGGGAGGGAAGCUCUCCGUGUUGGUCUUCUUAAGAGGGUGGGGGACGGCUCAAGAGCUUGGGAUUUUGAAAGAAGUGGCAACUACUCCGUAA